CAAACCCUAAUGCUGCGACGUCUUGGAAUUUGGCGAUGUUGUGCGUAGCAUGGACGACAAAAUGCUAUGCUGCAACGUUUCAGUGCCAAUGUGUCGGUUGGAGAGUUAUCCCUGCCAGGGGAUCUGUUACUCCCCCCUGGACACCCAGGAAGAUUUGGCGUUGCUUGACAACAGUUUGAGGCAGGAUAAAGAGCUCCAGCAACGAUUUCUUCGGUUUUUGGCAAUCAAAUGUGGGAGGGACAUAAAGACAACCGUGUGUGAAUGCUUCAGAGUAUCUUCUCUAAUCACCUUUCCAUCAGUACAACCUGGACUGGUGUAGGGGAUAAAGCAUGUUUUAGAGACAUGUUCCUGAAGACCAUUGUUCAAAGAGCCAUCCGGAAGAACCCGGCAACCCAGGAUGCCACUGAUGAGGCGAUCCAGGUUAACGUUACGCGUUACCUGAAAGGAGCAUCUGAACAUGAAGGUGGAAAAAGGCGCCGCACAGCUGAGAGGGACCCACAGCCGACCCCUUAAACCUAGGCUGACUACUGACACCCCAGCAUCACUGACAACUGGAACCCUUUCUUUAUCCUGCAGUCAGUAACAUCAAGACCCCUAAAAAAGCCUGCUAAAAGUGUCAGACUACACUCACCCAAUCCACACUGUUCACUGUGGAAAUUUUAUUUAUUUUUUUUUUUUCUCUCGUGACCCUGCUUUGAGGGCAGCUCCUUGGAUGAAUAUGGGACGGUUUGUCCUUUUAUACAGGCGCACGAGGAAUCACUGAAGAUAUGCCAAUUUGCACUGCCUCAUUCUGGAGGUCGGGGAAAACCGGUGAUUCUUAGCCCACUACGCCACACAGUCCCCAACCUCUCCAGACAUUCUGAUUGGCUGUGUUCUCUACAGCCAGAUUUUCUGCUGUUAAUUAUAUUUAUUCCCACUUGUUGUCAUGUGUAAGUUGAAUGUCAAAAUGUAUAUUAUACCUGUUAUCCUGCACAUUCCUUGAUACCAAAGAUCUCAAUUAUUUCAUAUACAAUUUGCUGCUUAUUUCAUUGUUACAGUGCUUAACUAUUCUAUUUUUAAAUAUAGCUUGUAGUCCUAGAUUAUACAUCUAAUACUUGAUAUCUGCACAUUAUCUGGUAUCAAAUAUUCUACUUACCGUGACUUUAGUAUUGGCUUAUUUCAUUCCAUCAGUGCUUAACGAUUCUAUUAUAGUUUGUAAAUCCUAUUUCAUACCUCUGAUACUUGAUAUUGCACAUUAACUAGUACCAAAAAUUCUACUUUCAUUCCAUCACAGUGCUUAACUGUUAUUCUAUUGUUAAAUAUAGCUUGUAAAUCCUUGUGCCACAGGUCAGCAUUGCAGUUAUAAUGGUAUAUUCUACUCCAGAG